GACGAACGCUGGCGGCGUGCUUAACACAUGCAAGUCGAACGGAAAGGCCCUGCUUUUGUGGGGUGCUCGAGUGGCGAACGGGUGAGUAACACGCGAGUAACCUGCCCUUGCCUUUGGGAUAACUUCAGGAAACUGGGGCUAAUACCGGAUAGGAGCUCCUGCUGCAUGGUGUGGGGUGGAAAGUUUCGGCGGCUGGGGAUGGACUAGCGGCUUAUAAGCCUGUUGGUGGGUUAGUGGCUUACCAAGGCUUUGACGGGUAGCCGGCCUGAGAGGGUGACCGGCCACAUUGGGACUGAGAUACGGGCCAGACUCCUACGGGCGGCAGCGGUGGGGAAUAUUGCAAGAUAGGCGGAAGCCUGAAGCAGCAACGCCGCGUUCGGGAUGACGGCCAUCGGGUUGGAAACCGCUUUCGCCGGUGACGAAGCGUGAGUGACGGUAAUGGGUUAAAAAGCACCGGCUAACUACGUG
rnacentral:rRNA from 1 species